GACGAACGCUGGCGGCGUGCUUAACACAUGCAAGUCGAACGGUAAGGCCCUUCGGGGUACACGAGUGGCGAACGGGUGAGUAACACGUGGGUGAUCUGCCCUGCACUUUGGGAUAAGCCUGGGAAACUGGGUCUAAUACCGAAUAGGACCGCGCACUGCAUGGUGUGUGGUGGAAAGCUUUUGCGGUGUGGGAUGGGCCCGCGGCCUAUCAGCUUGUUGGUGGGGUGAUGGCCUACCAAGGCGACGACGGGUAGCCGGCCUGAGAGGGUGUCCGGCCACACUGGGACUGAGAUACGGCCCAGACUCCUACGGGAGGCAGCAGUGGGGAAUAUUGCACAAUGGGCGCAAGCCUGAUGCAGCGACGCCGCGUGGGGGAUGACGGCCUUCGGGUUGUAACCUCUUUCAGUAGGGACGAAGCGCAAGUGACGGUACCUACAGAAGAAGCACCGGCCAACUACGUGCCAGCCGCCGCAGUAA
rnacentral:rRNA from 1 species